GGGGAUGUGGCUCAGUGGUAGAGCACUUGCCUAGCAUGUGUGAGGCACUGGGUUUAAUCCUCAGCACCCCUU
rnacentral:tRNA from 1 species